AGGACGAACGCUGGCGGCGUGCUUAACACAUGCAAGUCGAGCGGAAAGGCCCUUCGGGGUACUCGAGCGGCGAACGGGUGAGUAACACGUGAGUAAUCUGCCCCUAGCUCUGGGAUAGCUCCGGGAAACCGGGAUUAAUACCAGAUACGACCACUUUAGACAUCUGCUGUGGUGGAAAGAAUUUUCGGCUAGGGAUGAGCUCGCGGCCUAUCAGCUUGUUGGUGAGGUAACGGCUCGACCAAAGGCGACGACGGGUA
rnacentral:rRNA from 1 species